rnacentral:snRNA from 1 species
AUCCUUAUGCUCGGGAAUUACGCAUAUCAGUGAGGACUCGUCCGAGAUUGUGUAUUUGCUGGUUGAAAACUUCAACUACGACCUCUCCUUUUUGUCCUUUUUGCGACUUUAAGGGAAUUUUUGGACUCUUUUCCUUUCUUUGGCUCGGCUGCGCUUGUGCUCGGACUGAACAAAAAA